ensembl:misc_RNA Metazoa_SRP Metazoan signal recognition particle RNA
GCCGGGCGCGGUGGCGCACGCCUGUAGUCCCAGCUACUCGGGAGGCUGAGACAGGAGGAUCGCUUGAGUCCAGGAGUUCUGGGCUGUAGUGCGCUAUGCCGAUCGGGUGUCCGCACUAAGUUCGGCAUCAAUAUGGUGACCUCCCGGGAGCGGGGGGGCCACCAGGUUGCCUAAGGAGGGGUGAACCGGCCCAGGUCGGAACUCCCAUGCUGAUCAGAGGUCCUGAGUUCAAUUCCCAGCAACCACAUGGUGGCUCACAACUAUCUAUAAUGAGAUCUGGUGCCCU